rnacentral:lncRNA from 1 species
CUGAGACUACAGGUGCAUGCCACGACACCCAGCUAAUAUUAGUAUUUCAUGUCAAGAUGGGUUUUCACCAUGUUGAGCAGGCUGGUCUCAAACUUCUGACCUCAGGUGAUCCACUCACCUUGGUCUCCCAUAGUGCUGGGAUUACAAGUGUGAGCCACUAUGCCUGGCCAGGAAUGUCUCUUUCUGACAGAAUCAGGAGCCUGAAGUUGUCUUGGGACCCCAAGAAGAGAGAAAUUCACCCAACUCACAGUGAUCUCUGACUGCAGCUCAAAAGAAACAAGAGAGAUGGGUAAUAUAAAAAUCCAGAUCAGGCACCAGGCACGGUGGCUCAUGCCUGUAAUCCCAGCACUUUGGGAGGCCGAGGUGGGCAGAUCACGAUGUCAGGGGUUCGAGACCAGCCUGGCCCACAUGGUGAAACCCUGUCUCUGCUAAAAAUACAAAAAUUAGCCGGGCGUGGUGGCACGUGCCUGUAAUCCCAGCUACUGAGGAAGCUAAGGCAGGAGAAUCACUUGAACCUGGGAGCCAGAGUUGCAGUGAGCCAAGAUUGCACCACUGCACUCCAGCCUGGCCGACAGAGCAAGACUCCAUCUCAAAAAAAAAAAAAAAAAAUCCGGAUCACUAAUCUAAUUCUGAACACAUAUUGGAAUCAGGUAGCAAACCCAUAUCAGCUUCUUCCCAACAUUUGCCCUUAUUUAGUUUACUUGGGAUAAUUUUACUUAUUUUACUUUACUUGGGAUAAUUUUACUUAUUUUACUUUACUGUUGUGGAUUAUAUUGUUGUUGUGCUCUUUGUGUAGAAAUGCAAGAUAAGCUUGCUCAAUGUUUUCUUAAGUAGAACACUUAAUUUUGCAGAUAUCAACAUUUGUUAAGAACUCAAGACUUAUAAAUGAUCCUUGUAAUAUUGAUGCUUUCUCACCUGGCUGGGCAUGGUGGUUCACGCCUGUAAUCUUAACACUUUGGGAGGCCAAAGCAGGUGGAUUGCCUGAGAUCAAGAGUUCAAGACCAGCUUGGCCAACAUGGUAAA